GUCGAACGAGAAAGUGGAGCAAUCCAUGAGUAAAGUGGCGCACGGGUGAGUAACACGUGACUAACCUACCCUGGAGUGGGGGAUAACUGAGGGAAACCUUAGCUAAUACCGCAUAACACCUACGGGUCAAAGGAGCAAUUCGCUUUAGGAGGGGGUCGCGGCAGAUUAGCUAGUUGGCGGGGUAAUGGCCCACCAAGGCAGUGAUCUGUAUCCGGCCUGAGAGGGCGCACGGACACACUGGAACUGAAACACGGUCCAGACUCCUACGGGAGGCAGCAGUGGGGAAUUUUGCGCAAUGGGGGAAACCCUGACGCAGCAACGCCGCGUGGAGGAUGAAGUCUCUUGGGACGUAAACUCCUUUCGAUUGGGAAGAUUAUGACGGUACCAAUAGAAGAAGCCCCGGCUAACUUCGUGCCAGCAGCCGCGGUAAUACGAGGGGGGCAAGCGUUGUUCGGAAUUAUUGGGCGUAAAGGGUGCGUAGGCGGUUUGGUAAGUCUUGUGUGAAAUCUUCGGGCUCAACUCGAAGUCUGCACGAGAAACUGCCGGGCUUGAGUGUGGGAGAGGUGAGUGGAAUUUCCGGUGUAGCGGUGAAAUGCGUAGAUAUCGGAAGGAACACCUGUGGCGAAAGCGGCUCACUGGACCAUGACUGACGCUGAUGCACGAAAGCUAGGGGAGCAAACAGGAUUAGAUACCCUGGUAGUCCUAGCCCUAAACGAUGAUCGCUUGGUGUGACGGGUACCCAAUCCCGCCGUGCCGCAGCUAACGCGUUAAGCGAUCCGCCUG
rnacentral:rRNA from 1 species